GUGCCCUCUUCCAGCUGGCGCGGUGCGCUAAGAUGGCUGACACAGAAGGCUAGGGUGCGUCUCCAUGUAACCCAGAGAAGAGACUGCACCCUCGCCUUCAGAGCCUGUCUGGAGUCACAGCU
ensembl:snoRNA